rnacentral:rRNA from 1 species
UACGGGGGGGGGCAAGCGUUGUUCGGAAUUACUGGGCGUAAAGGGCGCGUAGGCGGUUCGCUAAGUUGAAUGUGAAAACUCUGGGCUUAACCCAGAGCCUGCAUCCAAAACUGGCGAACUGGAGUACUGGAGGGGAAAGCGGAAUUCCUGGUGUAGCGGUGAAAUGCGUAGAUAUCAGGAGGAACACCGGUGGCGAAGGCGCUUUCUGGACAGUAACUGACGCUGGGCGCGAAGCCGGGGAAGC